AAUGCACAUGUUUAAAUGAAUAAAAACACUCAGAACUACAUGGCUCAAAACGCGUUCCCUCUCUCGCCUCAGUUCCUGCUUCUGUUUCCGUUACUCUCUCCGUCGUGCCAGAGGCCGUCCUCGACGGCGGAGGCAUCCAAAAAAACAAACAAACACCACCACUCCACUCAAACUCUAACGCUGAUUCCAAAUCUAUCAACGAAAUCUCCUAAUUCCUUAAGAAUCUCUCAAAUUGAAGAGGAAUUCGUAUGAACCAUAACUUGAAAUUAUUAAAUUAAAUGGUAAUUGAAGGGAACCGAGUCACCACACGUUGGGGCUUUGAUUCCCCUUAAGAAUCUCUACAUCCUGAUAACUUUAGAAUACGAAAAAAGGAAGAAAAUAUUGGAGUCUCACCAGAAUUUCGUUGGCGCCAGGGCUGCUUCUAGGCUUAGAGUUUUGUUAUGGAGCUAUGUGUAAGACCCCAAUUUUAACCCUAAGAUCCCUCAUGCUACCUCAUCAUUUGCAUUGACUUUGGGAUCUCACCUUGGUAUCCUCUUCAUCCCUCAUUCAUUUAGGUGUGUGUGUCCAUUUGUGCCCCACCAAGUUCAUAUCUAGGGUUUGAGACCCUCAGUGCAAGAGAUCAAUCAAGAAAAGGUUCAUAUUUAUUCUAACUAUCAUAUAUGGAUCCCCGUGCUCUUUAAUUGUCAUUUUGAUCAAGAAUUCAUCAAGAGUUUGGAGUUUGUUUGUCUUGGAAGCCCUAAUUCAUCUGGGUAUCUUGCGUGACUUCCUCAGCAAGUUUAUUCACCAAUUGAUCAAAUAUCUUAAGGUAUACUUUAUUAUACAUCAUGUCAAGCAUAGAUGAUCCUCCAUGAGCCCCCAAAGAUCAAAGUUCAUAUCUGGUACAUGCCCUUACAAGAUAAUUAACAAGAGAAGGUACCCAAUUGCUUAUU